rnacentral:misc_RNA from 1 species
UGGCUCUCGCAUCGAUGAAGAACGCAGCGAAAUGCGAUAAGUAAUGUGAAUUGCAGAAUUCAGUGAAUCAUCGAAUCUUUGAACGCACCUUGCACUCCUUGGUAUUCCGAGGAGUAUGCUUGUUUGAGAGUAUUGUAAUCAUCAAUCCUCCUUUGCUUUUUGUGAAGGUUGGCUUGGAUUUGGAGAUUGCUGGUCACUUAGGUGGUUAACAGCUUCUCUUGAAUGCAUUAGUUGAAUGAAGUUGCAACGCUAUGUGUAGUGUGAUAAUUAUCUUCACUGCAUAGUUGUAAUGAAGUUUGGCUUCUAACAGUCUCUUCAAUGAGACAACUUUGAACAUUUUACCUCAAAUCAAGUAGGACUACCCGCUGA